GCUCUGAUGUGAGGAUCAGAGAUCCAGGCUGGUGUUAGUGUUAACUAUGGGGAACUGAAGCUCAGAGACGGAAGGAAAUUCACUCAUAGUCACACAGGAGAUUCCCAACAGAGCAAGGCCUAGGCCCUGCCCCCUCUCCCCCCAAAGCCAAAGCCUGGGCUUGUCCUUGGGCAGCUGCAGCCUUAACCUCAAAGAAGGCUGAGGAAUUCACACUGAGAUCUCUCAUGGUAUUCUGGGUCUCAAUGAGCUGAGACCCCAGCUGGGUUGCCUGUGGCUGGAAAAUGUCAGAGAGCCCAAGUCAGAGCCUGGGGUCUUAUGUCCAGCUGGGGUCUGAUCCGCAAUAUUACCCAGGGCUUGUGAUGUCACCCCUCUGAGCCUCAGUUUCUAUGCUCCCCAAAUCAGGGUAAGGAUCCCUGACAGGGUGAGGAAUUCUAUGAAGGCACAGAGCUAUUUUCAUAAGAGCUGCUCCUGAGUUCUCCCUGGGCAUCAAACCCUCUGCUAUCAUUGGCUGUGGCUUCCUGGAGUCCUCGUAGCAGCUGGUACAGUGGAAACCCAGCUGCAGCAGGUGCUCAAUAAAUAUCUAACGAAUGACUGAACACAUCGUGCCAGCAUCAGGAUGCCACCAGGGUCCUGAGGGAGCCGGAGAGAUGGGAGGAAAGCUCCUGGACUCCUGCCACGUCUUACAUUAGCAGCAUCUUCUCCAACAGCCUGCCCCCAGGGACACCAUCUGAACCAGCUGAAUUCCG
ensembl:lncRNA